UACGUAGGGUGCGAGCGUUAAUCGGAAUUACUGGGCGUAAAGCGUGCGCAGGCGGUUUUGUAAGCCAGAUGUGAAAUCCCCGGGCUUAACCUGGGAAUGGCAUUCGGGACUGCAAGGCUGGAGUGCGGCAGAGGAGACUGGAAUUCCUGGUGUAGCAGUGAAAUGCGUAGAUAUCAGGAGGAAUACCGAUGGCGAAGGCAGGUCUCUGGGCUGACACUGACGCUCAUGCACGAAAGCGUGGGGAGCAAACAGG
rnacentral:rRNA from 1 species